AUUGAACGCUGGCGGCAUGCUUUACACAUGCAAGUCGAACGGUAACAGGUCUUCGGAUGCUGACGAGUGGCGAACGGGUGAGUAAUGCAUCGGAACGUGCCCAGUCGUGGGGGAUAACGCAGCGAAAGCUGUGCUAAUACCGCAUACGAUCUAUGGAUGAAAGCGGGGGACCGUAAGGCCUCGCGCGAUUGGAGCGGCCGAUGUCAGAUUAGGUAGUUGGUGGGGUAAAGGCCCACCAAGCCAACGAUCUGUAGCUGGUCUGAGAGGACGACCAGCCACACUGGGACUGAGACACGGCCCAGGCUCCUACGGGAGGCAGCAGUGGGGAAUUUUGGACAAUGGGCGCAAGCCUGAUCCAGCAAUGCCGCGUGCAGGAAGAAGGCCUUCGGGUUGUAAACUGCUUUUGUACGGAACGAAACGGUCUGGGUUAAUACCCUGGGCUAAUGACGGUACCGUAAGAAUAAGCACCGGCUAACAACGUGCCAGCCGCCGCCGUAA
rnacentral:rRNA from 1 species